GAUGAACGCUGGCGGCGUGCCUAAUACAUGCAAGUCGAGCGAACAGAUGAGGAGCUUGCUCCUCUGACGUUAGCGGCGGACGGGUGAGUAACACGUGGAUAACCUACCUAUAAGACUGGGAUAACUUCGGGAAACCGGAGCUAAUACCGGAUAAUAUAUUGAACCGCAUGGUUCAAUAGUGAAAGACGGUUUUGCUGUCACUUAUAGAUGGAUCCGCGCCGCAUUAGCUAGUUGGUAAGGUAACGGCUUACCAAGGCAACGAUGCGUAGCCGACCUGAGAGGGUGAUCGGCCACACUGGAACUGAGACACGGUCCAGACUCCUACGGGAGGCAGCAGUAGGGAAUCUUCCGCAAAGGGCGAAAGCCUGACGGAGCAACGCCGCGUGAGUGAUGAAGGUCUUCGGAUCGUAAAACUCUGUUACUAGGGAAGAACAAAUGUGUAAGUAACUAUGCACGUCUUGACGGUACCUAAUCAGAAAGCCACGGCUAACUACGUG
rnacentral:rRNA from 1 species